UCGUCGGUGCGCUGCGGGUCGUGAGCGGAUCGCUGUCGAUCGGCGAGGUGCAGGCGUUCAUCCUGUACUCCGGCGGGUUCAGCCGGCCGAUCGUCGAG
rnacentral:tRNA from 1 species